ensembl:lncRNA
CCACGGACGUGUCACUGCAGUACCGCCUCGACAUCGUCUUCUGCCAAACGGUCACCUACACAUAUUUUAAUUAUUGUAUGUCUGAGCUGAUGCGUUUAUCCUGGAGUGACUCAGAGUGAAGGAGAAGGCCAAGAAGAAGUUGUGUCUUUUGUCCCCUUUUUCGUCUCCUCAUCCCCAAAGGGUCGCAGCGGGCUGCCCCUCCCUGACCGUGGUUCUGCCAGAGGGUGCUUCCUGUUAAAAGAAAUAGUCAGGACCCAGAUGAACCUGUGCUGGAAUUCAGUGUGGGCUUUCUACUUACAGGGUGGUGGGUCUCAGAGGACAAUUGCUACCCCUGUUGAAGUGAACAACGUGUGGAGUGCAACUGGCUUUGUGGCAUAGCUGGCUCUGGCCUUGGACUGUGUGUUUUUACUUUGUACCUAAAUGGGACACUGGACUUUUAACUACUAUUCAUUGUGUUUAUAAAUAAAAUUUUAGAAUUUUAUUGACUGUCAUCUUUUUGCCCACGGUGGAGACGGUUGGUCAGACCUAGAAUCUGUGUGUGUGUCUGUGUGUGUCAUCAGCAGGGUUUUGCAUAAAAGAGUGUGAGCAGGUCAAAAGGUCAAUUCAUUUAUUGUAGUUUUAUGGCAGCACCCUCUAGUGGCCUUGAAGCAAACAGUCUCCUAACUAAGCCAUGGCAUCUCUGGUCUCUCC